rnacentral:rRNA from 1 species
UACGUAGGGGGCAAGCGUUGUCCGGAAUCAUUGGGCGUAAAGAGCGUGUAGGCGGCCGCUUAAGUCCUGCGUGAAAUCUCGGAGCUCAACUCCGAGCGGUCGUGGGAAACUGGGCGGCUAGAGUGCGGGAGAGGAGAGUGGAAUUCCUGGUGUAGCGGUGGAAUGCGCAGAUAUCAGGAAGAACACCCGUGGCGAAGGCGGGUCUCUGGGCCGAUACUGACGCUGAGGAGCGAAAGCGUGGGGAGCGAACAGG